ensembl:lncRNA
UAUGUCAGUGUGGAAAGUCUGUUUGUUUACGAUAAACCCUGGAAGGAAGGAGACAGUAAAGGGGCAGCUGUGGAUAACGAAUACUCAGAGGUGGCCGAGGCUUCAGGGCAGAAGAAGGCCUGCAGGUUCCGAGCCGUGCUGCCUUGGCUCCUCGUGGUUCUCCUCCUUGUGGUCGUCACAGGCCUCGGAAUCGCCCAGCAAAUAGGUUGUACUGAUAAUUGGAUAAGUCUUCCCUGCCGUUGUUACUCCAUCUUCCCGCAAAUUGAAAGCCAAGACGGAAGUGAGAGCUGUGAGGAAAGCGGAAAAGAUUGUGUCUACACACAAGCCGACCUCGCCAGCAUAACCACUAGAGAGGAGCAGGAAAUUGUUUCUAGAUUGUCAUCUGACAAGCCAGCAUGGGUGGGUCUGAAGAGCGACGAUGAUGGAGUGUGGUGUUGGGUGGAUGGUACUCGUCUCCCCACUAAAAGUUGCGGGUGCGACAGCCCGGAAGAAGAACGCAGUGCUUUGAUGAAAGACAUCAACCCUACAGCUCAGAGACCUCUGAGAUGUUUCGCCUGCAGCUCCACACAAAACUGGAUCUGUGAGAAAAUAAUAGAAUGAGCUCACCAUGGCAGGGUACAGCCAACCAGCACACAGACACACUGGUGUGGAAAAUGGUAUCAUUUUAAUAACUUCACAGAUACAUUUGCUCAUCUUCUUUACUGUAUCACUGAUUCACUUAGAAAGCCCUUUGUGUAUAUAUUUAAGUUACGUAAUUUGCCGUCUACUUAAUACUUUGAACAUGUGCACAUUCCACGGUCCUAUUUUGCACAUUCAUGCAUAGCAGUAAAGCUUAUAUUUUAAAAAACAGACUGUUCUAAAUCUCUUUUAUAUUCCUCAGAUAUUCGCCAUAAUGUUUUCUUAAUGAUAAUGUUUCUAUUUAAUAGUUUUCUGCUUUCAGUGCUUGUGGCUUUUUUUCUUACUCUAUCCUAUUUUUGUUUGUUAUUGAUUGCACCAAAUACCAAGAAAAAUAAAACACAUUUUGAGG